rnacentral:rRNA from 1 species
CCCGCAACGAGCGCAACCCCUAUUCUCAGUUUGCCAGCACAUAAUGGUGGGCACUCUGUGGAGACUGCCCGGUUAACCGGGAGGAAGGUGGGGAUGACGUCAAGUCAUCAUGGCCCUUACGCCUAGGGCUACACACGUACUACAAUGGUGGGUACAAAGGGCAGCGAAACCGCGAGGUCGAGCGAAUCUCAAAAAACCCAUCAUAGUCCGGAUUGCAGUCUGCAACUCGACUGCAUGAAGUUGGAAUCGCUAGUAAUCCCGGAUCAGCAUGCCGGGGUGAAUACGUUCCCGGGCCUU